AGCCUCGCGAUGGGAUGGGCAUCAGAGCGACUCCUCGCUCGAGCCAGUGCGCCCUAACCAAGCCCAUAGGAGCACGCAUUAUGGGAGGGCCCUAGCCGACCCGUGCUCGCGGCGGUGUGCCAUGGAGGAGCGCCUAGCCGCACCAAUGCUCAUGCGCGCCGCCGGCGAGCACCUCAGUCUCACUCACGCUAGGUGCUCGACAUAAUGCUCGAGAGAGACUAGUGAGAGGGAGAGAAAGACCAGUCAACCUGUACACGUGGCUUACUUUCUUUGCCAAGUCAUCCUGACAGUGGGUUCCACCUAUCAGUUUUGCUGUUAGACGCGGCUCAAUUCUGAAUUAGUGCAUUUUGUUACUCACUUGCCACAGAAGUGGUGGUUAUUCGUGAUUUUCAACAAAAGCGAUGGUUUUGGG
rnacentral:lncRNA from 1 species